UAUACAUUUUGCUUGUUUUGCAUUAUAAUUGACUAUUUCUGUGAAAGAGCAUGUAAUGCCGACCUUCUAUUUGUUUAUCUUCUGUCGAAUUAGACUAUAACUGGAUUGAUCUUUCAAAUUCAGAUAAAUUUGAAUCUAGGUUUAGAUAUUUGAUUACUCAACCUUGAUUGAGCAGAUCGAUGAAUUCUAAUUAUGACUUGCACUUUUCCUUCUGUUGAUGAGGAAUUCAAAGUAUAAAAAGUUCUGAGGGCAGAACUUUUGUGUUAGCUGGGUUAACAGAGUAUCUUGGUGGGGCUGAUUUUCCUUAGUUGUAUUAAAGUGUCUCUGUAAACCAUAGAAUUGUCUCUAAGAAAUUGAUAUCUGAGUUCAUCAUGUUGAAGUCCUGUGCAUUUGGAUGUUAAAGCAUGAAAUUUGAUGGUUGUUGCUGUCGCAUGAAAGUGUAUGCAUGUGUUUAUUGCAUUUGUAUAUACAUGCAUCAUUUGUGUCCAAACUAACCUCUGAAUGUCAAUGAUCAAUUAGGGGUUAAAAUUUCAUCAACAUUUUGAGAACAUAAAUAAUUAUGUUUUCUUGAAGUAACUUUAAAACCUAAACUUGUUUUUGUCCUUGGUGCAAUGGUAAGGUGUGUUUCUGCAGGUCACAAUUUGAUAGCAUAGAAAUAGCUUCCUUGCAAUGAGCAGACCUCACGCAUGAGUCCCCCCUUUUCCCUCUUUUCUGAAGUUUCUUAAAGAAUUUGAUUUCUAUUUGCUUUAGAGUCCAUUUGCUAUUUGCAUUGCCUAGUAAGUCAAAAUAUGAAGUUCAUUGCCUCACGCAUGCCUGCACUCAUAGAUCAGGCAAAACUUGCAAUUGGUUUACUAUAAAAUGUUGCCAAUUAGAACAUCUGAACAUUUUAAAAAAGUAGUGUCCCAACUUUGUGGCUUUUUCUUAGGAAUCCUUUCCUGUUGAUUUAUUUAGAUUCUAUCACAUAAGUCAUCACAGCCAAUAUAAACCUGCCUCAAAUUCUUGAAAUUCAUUGAGUGCAGAUGACAAAACGUUGUUUGAUUUUGUAAAUGAGUAUGCUGACUAUGUGUUUGGCUGUUUCUUCAGUAAGGAUUAGGACAAUGAAGAUAACACAGAAACUGACCACGUCUCUUUUCAAAUUUUUGGUUUUGAGUUAUCAUUUAAUCCUGGAAAAAAAUUUUUAAUUCUUGUUAUAUUCAGAUUGUUUUACUGGGAAUAUAUGGCCUUAGGGAUCAUAAUUGGUGAGUCUAAUCACCAACCUGCCCUCCAAGUUGCCUUGUUGGUUAGGUAUUUUGCAAUCAGCAGCAAACAUGAUAUUUUGGCCUUGAUGUUCAAGUCAGGACAAAUUAUAUCACUGUUAGUCCAUCCGUAUUGUUGGUGCUGAUUUACAAGUGAGAGCUUUUGAAUUUACAUAUAUCUAAUUCUAAAAGGGGAAUUGGAUGCUGG
rnacentral:misc_RNA from 1 species